UACAGAGGUCUCAAGCGUUGUUUCGGAUUCAUUGGGCGUAAAGGGUGCGUAGGCGGCGCGGUAAGUCGGGUGUGAAAUCUCGGAGCUUAACUCCGAAACUGCAUUCGAUACUGCCGUGCUUGAGGACUGGAGAGGAGACUGGAAUUUACGGUGUAGCGGUGAAAUGCGUAGAUAUCGUAAGGAAGACCAGUGGCGAAGGCGGGUCUCUGGACAGUUCCUGACGCUGAGGCACGAAGGUCAGGGGAGCAAACGGG
rnacentral:rRNA from 1 species